rnacentral:rRNA from 1 species
GACGAACGCUGGCGGCGUGCCUAAUACAUGCAAGUAGAACGCUGAAGGAGGAGCUUGCUUCUCUGGAUGAGUUGCGAACGGGUGAGUAACGCGUAGGUAACCUGCCUGGUAGCGGGGGAUAACUAUUGGAAACGAUAGCUAAUACCGCAUAACAGUAGAUGUUGCAUGACAUUUGCUUAAAAGGUGCAAUUGCAUCACUACCAGAUGGACCUGCGUUGUAUUAGCUAGUUGGUGAGGUAACGGCUCACCAAGGCGACGAUACAUAGCCGACCUGAGAGGGUGAUCGGCCACACUGGGACUGAGACACGGCCCAGACUCCUACGGGAGGCAGCAGUAGGGAAUCUUCGGCAAUGGACGGAAGUCUGACCGAGCAACGCCGCGUGAGUGAAGAAGGUUUUCGGAUCGUAAAGCUCUGUUGUAAGAGAAGAACGAGUGUGAGAGUGGAAAGUCACACUGUGACG